GCACCCCCAUAGCACCUGCAGAAAAAAAUCUCUGGCGCCGCCACUGAUAUAUACCAUAGCUAAACACUAUAGGAUGGUAACUCCGUUUAAUACAUAAACCCACCUGACUCUGGUACUUUAUACUGACACUGCACACAGAGCACUGAGAUGCCAUGAGGAGGCACUGUUUAACAACACGGAAUGAGCCUAUACUUCUGGGAAGACAGAUGCUUAGCAGCCUAUAUCUGAUGGUCCCAUCGCCACUACUGACGAGGAGAGGAUAGAGCGGGUUCAAAGAAAAAGGAUAAAGGUCGAAAAGAGUAGAAGACAGAAGUGAAAGGAGGGAAAUAAAAGGAUAGGAGAAGGGGGCAGAGCUGGAAGUCAGGAAAUAGGGGCGCUCCCUGGCCUUUCGUUUUGAGAGGGCGGUAACGCUGGCUUCCCGGUCCGGUGACGUCAUGGACACUCAUUAGACUGACAAGCCACCUGUGGGGCCGCUCGUGCUUUAAAGCGACAGCUGUGCGAAUGAGCUUGAACCAUUCCAACUGCACAUUGACAUUGACGAGCCUCAGGGCCAGGCUGUCAACUAAGCAGUGGUGAACAAGAUGCUGAACAAAAUAGACAACCGAAUUUACGAGCACCAAAGCGCGAGGUCGGUUUGUGUCCAGCAGUAGGGGAAACGUACUUCAACAAGAGACGCCCUGCAAGAGACGCCUAUAGGCGGUGGCGGCAGAACUGAUGCAUGUUGCACUGAUGCAUCUCAUCAAAUAAGCUUUUUCCUCGUCAAUCACCCGAGACAAGACAACGCCGUCCUUCAGGAAAAUCGACUGCUGCCACGUCUCUUCUGAAAUGACACGACAUGGUGGUGACAACAGACACUUGCAACAGACACAUGCAGCGGCCGGUUGGAGUCCCAGAAGUUGAGCCGGACGCUAAUUGUAUCAACAGGUCUCGGACUGUGAUGUGGAACUGAGGC
rnacentral:lncRNA from 1 species